AGUAAUAUAUCGGAACGUAUCCAAUAAUGGGGGAUAACUAGUCGAAAGAUUAGCUAAUACCGCAUACGCCCUGAGGGGGAGAGCUGGGGAUCUUCGGACCUAGCGUUAAUGGAGCGGCCGAUAUCUGAUUAGCUAGUAGGUGAGGUAAGAGCUCACCUAGGCGACGAUCAGUAGCUGGUCUGAGAGGACGACCAGCCACACUGGAACUGAGACACGGUCCAG
rnacentral:rRNA from 1 species